AUCCCCUACCCCCACCUAAUCCACCUACUCCCAACAAACCUCUGCACACACCCACUUACACACUCCAAUUUUAUUUUCAACACAAUACUCACUAACAAAACACCACAAAAGAAUAGACACAACACAACACAAUACAUAGACUCCACGCCAUACACACUUACUCCUCUAUUUUCCAUUUUUUUCUAAGAUUACACACACUAAUAUAUGCGCGUACACACACGAGAAUGAGGGGAAAAAAAGGUGACAGAGAGAAUAUUGAGAGUGGGAGAUCGAGAGAGAGAGGGGAAAAGAGGAGAGAAACAGUGGAGAAGCAAUUUUUCGAUGAAUUCUCGCCGGGAAAUGUCACCGCCACUGGAAAUUUGACCUAUUCUCUGGUUCCCGCCACCGCCUGUGCUCGAUGGAGCUCUGACAAUAUACAAACGACAAAUCCAGCUCUAAUUUGGUGAAGACCUACCAGAAAAAAGGUCAACUGGACCAAGACGCUGCUACUCCGAUGAAAUCCAUCGAAAAAAACAAAACAGUGACCAAAAUUAGUCGCAACAGUGUAUGCGCCACUUGACGGCGCUAUGAGUUGGGCUGUGGUUAUUGGUAUUUGUUUUGAGAUGCAGAUUUGAUGGUUGAGGUUCAGGUUUGACUCGCGGCUUUGGAAUACGAAUUUCAUAUUUUCAUUCAAAUAAUAUUUGAGUUUGAAAGCUUCAAAUUAAGGUCCAAUUCUACUCUUUUUCCUCUUUUUAUUUCAUUAUUUGGUGAUAUUCAGUUCAUUGAAUUGAAUAUUGUGUGUUGGUUGAUCCCUGUUGGUGAUGAAUAAUUGCUUGGGUUGAUGCAUUAUUGAUUCACUCAAUUAUAGAAUGUAUGAUGAAACGACAUCUUAUGUGGGAAUUAAAACUAUGAUUAGUUUGGAAUGAAUUUUGGGAAAAGGGAAUUGAAAAAUUGAUAAUGGUAAAUAUGGAUUUGUUUUUGAUUCAUUAUUAAUGGUUUAAUUCAGAACAAAAUGUUAAUAUUGUCCAACUCGAUAGUAUCAUGUUUUAGGUCGAGAAUUGAGAGACAAAUCUUAGGUUUGGGGUAGGCAAAUUUAGGACUUAUGGAAUAUUGAAUAUUUAAAAUGUUUGUUGAAUAGUUUGUCUUAUCUCAUUUGGAUCAAUUGUAUUCAUUUAGCCGGGGAAUGCCCCCAGGUUAUUUGUAUUAUUUCAUCCGAGGAAUGCCCCGACGGAGUUGUAUUUGAAGACGGUGCAUGAUCAAGGCUCGAGACACUGAGUGGGG
rnacentral:lncRNA from 1 species